UGUCAAUGAUGACUACCCCAUAGGCUCGUUUCUCAAAACAUUCGCAGUAGCCACCUUAGAGCUUUUGCCUUCGCCAGGCUUGAGGGUUUGUGCUGCUUAAAUUCUUCCUUGGAUACCUGAGAUC
rfam:Vitis vinifera, whole genome shotgun sequence of line PN40024, unoriented chromosome 7, chr7